UACAGAGGGGGCAAGCGUUGUUCGGAAUUACUGGGCGUAAAGGGCGCGUAGGCGGCCCGCUAAGUCGAACGUGAAAUCCCCGAGCUCAACUCGGGAACUGCGUCCGAUACUGGCGGGCUUGAAUCCGGGAGAGGGAUGCGGAAUUCCAGGUGUAGCGGUGAAAUGCGUAGACAUCUGGAGGAACACCGGUGGCGAAGGCGGCAUCCUGGACCGGCAUUGACGCUGGGGCGCGAAAGCUAGGGGAGCAAACGGG
rnacentral:rRNA from 1 species